AUCACGGGACGCUGGCCGUGGCGGGCUGCACGGGCUCCCGGGAGGGGCGGUGUGGAGAGUGACCUGUGCUCGCACACAGGCUUCUUGGUGGCGGCAGCAGCAGCCCCAGCGUCUCACGCCCGUCUCUGGGGUCCACGCUGACAGCCGCGGCUCGUGUCUGUCUCUGGAGUUCGUUUAGGCGGCGCUCUGAAUCCCCUCUCCUCGCGCACCAGGAAACAGGGAAGAAAAAGUCUCUUGCCUCUUCGGCAGCUGCAGACCUUUUCCCGGACUCCCUCCCGGCUAGCUGUGGUGCGCUAACCCCUUCAGGCUGUGUUCACGCCGCCAACCCCAGUCCUCUCCCUGCGAUCCGACCGAAGCCCGAGCCUCAGCUCCCAGCCCCGCCCGCCCCGGCGGCUGAGCAGACAAGCCUCUUGGGCUGAAGUGGAAAGGAUCACUACUAUCGAGAUAUAUUUGAAGAAGAAAAAAAUAGGAGAAUUAACUAGUUGAAAAACAUACUAAAACUGAAACAAUUAAGAUAAAAUGGAAUUAUGAAGAAAUAUAAAUUGAAAAAUGUAACUGAACUGGACCUAGAAGCUGACCGACACAAAAAUGGCACCUGAUGGAACCACAAAACCUGAAUGAGAACUCAUCUGUUUACAACAAGGUUGAAUAAAUAUUUUAAGCCCACUGUGGAGAUCUACU